rnacentral:rRNA from 1 species
GAUGAACGCUGGCGGCGUGCCUAAUACAUGCAGGUCGAGCGAACAGACGAGGAGCUUGCUCCUUCGACGUUAGCGGCGGACGGGUGAGUAACACGUAGGUAACCUACCUAUAAGACUGGGAUAACUUCGGGAAACCGGAGCUAAUACCGGAUAAUAUUUCGAACCGCAUGGUUCGAUAGUGAAAGAUGGCUUUGCUAUCACUUAUAGAUGGACCUGCGCCGUAUUAGCUAGUUGGUAAGGUAACGGCUUACCAAGGCAACGAUACGUAGCCGACCUGAGAGGGUGAUCGGCCACACUGGAACUGAGACACGGUCCAGACUCCUACGGGAGGCAGCAGUAGGGAAUCUUCUGCAAUGGGCGAAAGCCUGACGGAGCAACGCCGCGUGAGUGAUGAAGGUCUUCGGAUCGUAAAACUCUGUUAUUAGGGAAGAACAAACGUGUAAGUAACUGUGCACGUCUUGACGGUACCUAAUCAGAAAGCCACGGCUAACUACGUG